GGGGAAUUUUGGACAAUGGGCGAAAGCCUGAUCCAGCAAUGCCGCGUGAGUGAAGAAGGCCUUCGGGUUGUAAAGCUCUUUUGUCAGGGAAGAAACGGUGAGGGCUAAUAUCCCUCGCUAAUGACGGUACCUGAAGAAUAAGCACCGGCUAACUACGUGCCAGCAGCCGCGGUAAUACGUAGGGUGCAAGCGUUAAUCGGAAUUACUGGGCGUAAAGCGUGCGCAGGCGGUUUUGUAAGUCUGACGUGAAAUCCCCGGGCUCAACCUGGGAAUUGCGUUGGAGACUGCAAGGCUAGAAUCUGGCAGAGGGGGGUAGAAUUCCACGUGUAGCAGUGAAAUGCGUAGAGAUGUGGAGGAACACCGAUGGCGAAGGCAGCCCCCUGGGUCAAGAUUGACGCUCAUGCACGAAAGCGUGGGGAGCAAAC
rnacentral:rRNA from 1 species